rnacentral:rRNA from 1 species
AUGGCGGGCACAAUAUAUUUGAUCCGCGCCGAUGAAAUAAGAGGGAGAGAGAGAGAGGGAGAGAGUAAAAAAAAUCCAAGAAAAAAUGUGGCGCUCAUGGAUGAACCCUCACGGCACAUUGCACUUGGUCCUGAUCUUCCCUUGUCCGUUCUUGAGGGUGAGCACGUCGACGCGUCCCAUCUUCUUCAUGGACAUGGAGAAGGCGGCGUAGAACUUGAUCGGGUUGGUCAGGUCGUUGACAAUAGUCGCGGCAGCGGCGUUCUGCGUGAGCGCGGCGUCGGAGGCGAGCACUCCCCGCUUGUUCUGCAGGUUGGUGUAGUAGCUGCCGUCGAACUUGAACGGCGUGGCGCCGUCCAGGUCCACCGUGGACGUGGAAGCGGGAUUGUUGGGGCAGGCGUUCAUGAGCGUCUUGGCGUAGGUGGAGUCGAGCAGGGGGUCGAUGCUGGUGGCGUUGCCCUGGUACAGCCUGGGCGUGACGCUGGAGCAGCUGGCCUUGCCGAUGGUGUGCGCGCCGGAGAGCGCGACGAGGUCGUUGACGUCGAGCCCCUUGGCGGCGAAGCUCUGCAGCAGGCCGUUGAAGCCGGCGGAGGGCGAGGGCAGCGCGCCGGUGUUGCUGGCGAGCGAGACGGGGCCGUCCCGGCGGCCGGUCUCCACCUGCCAGAGCGAGGCCUUGAACUGGUAGGAGACGGCGUCGCGGGCGGCGAGCGCGACGAUGUCGGCGCAGGAGACGACGCCCGGGCAGGCCUUCUCGAGCUGCGCCUUGAUGGCGUCGAUCACCGGGUAGCCGCCGAGGGAGCCGUUGGGCGGCGCCGUCUUCUCGCUCUGCGCGUUGUCCAGCAGGAUGGACGCUGA